AUUGAACGCUAGCGGGAUGCUUUACACAUGCAAGUCGAACGAGUGGCGGACGGGUGAGCAACAUAUCGGAACGUGCCCAGUAGCGGGGGAUAACUACUCGAAAGAGUGGCUAAUACCGCAUACUAUGGGAGCGGCCGAUAUCGGAUUAGCUAGUUGGUGGGGUAAAGGCUCACCAGGGCAACGAUCCGUAGCAGGUUUGAGAGGACGACCGGCCACCCUGCGACUGGGGCACGGCCCAAACGCCUACGGGCGGCAGCCGGGGGGAAUUUUGGGCAAUGGGGGAAACCCUGAUCCAGCCAUCCCGCGUGUAUGAGAAGGCCUUCGGGUUGUAAAGUACUUUUGGCAGAGAAGCGGUAUCUGCAGAAUAAGCACCGGCUAACUACGUGCCAGCAGCCGCGGUAAUAC
rnacentral:rRNA from 1 species